GACGUAGGGCGCGAGCGUUGUCCGGAUUUAUUGGGCGUAAAGAGCGUGUAGGCGGCCAGGUAGGUCUGCUGUGAAAACUCGAGGCUCAACCUCGAGACGUCGGCGGAAACCAUCUGGCUAGAGUCCGGAAGAGGAGAGUGGAAUUCCUGGUGUAGCGGUGAAAUGCGCAGAUAUCAGGAAGAACACCCGUGGCGAAGGCAGGUCUCUGGGCCACUACUGACGCUGAGAAGCGAAAGCAUGGGGAGCGAACAGG
rnacentral:rRNA from 1 species